rnacentral:lncRNA from 1 species
AAUGUCGUAAUAAAGUAAUUUUUACGAAAAUAUAGUCAUAAUAAAAUCAUUACUUGCAAGAAUAAUGUCAUAAUAAAGUAACUACUUAAAAGAAUAAAGUUAUGAUAAAAUCAUCACUUACAAAAACAAAGCUCCUAUAAACAUGUCUGUGGUGGAAACAGGCCAUGUAAAAAGUGUCUGUAGUGGAAACAGUCCCUGUGUAAGUGUCUGUGGUGGAAACAGUCCCUGAAAAAGUGUCUGUGGUGUAAACAGUCCCUGAAAAAGUGUCUGUGGUGUAAACAGUCCCUGUGAAAGUGUCUGUAGUGGAAACAGUCCCUGUGAAAGUGUCUGUAGUGGAAACAGUCCCUGUGAAUUUGUCUGUAGUGGAAACAGUCCCUGUGAAGUUGUCUGUAGUGGAAACAGUCCCUGAAAAAGUGUCUGUAGUGGAAACAGUCCCUGAAAAAGUGUCUGUAGUGGAAACAGUCCCUGUGAAAGUGUCUGUAGUGGAAACAGUCCCUGAAAAAGUGUCUGUGGUGGAAACAGUCCCUGUGAAAGUGUCUGUAGUGGAAACAGUCCCUGAAAAAGUGUCUGUAGUGGAAACAGUCCCUGUGAAAGUGUCUGUAGUGGAAACAGUCCCUGUGAAAGUGUCCGUAGUGGAAACAGUCCCUGAAAAAGUGUCUGUGGUGGAAACAGUCCCUGAAAAAGUGUCUGUGGUGGAAACAGUCCCUGUGAAAGUGUCUGUAGUGGAAACAGUCCCUGAAAAAGUGUCUGUAGUGGAAACAGUCCCUGUGAAAGUGUCUGUAGUGGAAACAGUCCCUGAAAAAGUGUCUGUAGUGGAAACAGUCCCUGUGAAAGUGUCUGAAACUCUGAGAACUUCAACAUUUCGCCUGACACUGGACCUCCUGCAGUUCAGGAACGACAGGAGGAAGACUCUGGUGUUCAUCUUCCUCUCAUCACCUCCUGGUGAAGUUUGUCUGAGGUGGCAGCUUGUCCUCGUCUCUUCCUCACAGACCGUGGUGUUAAUCCAUUUCUGCGCUGCCCAGCACCGACCGACUGCAGCACAUAUGCAAAACAAUCUGCUUUAUGUGUAUCCUUGCCAGCGUGUUUGGCAGACUGUGACUGAGCAUUUUUUAUUGUGUUAUUUCUGAUAAGUCAUGUGGAUCGGCUGCCUUAAAUCCUGUGGCGUGACAUUUACAGCAGCCCCUCCUAUUGUCAGAGAUUUUUACAUGCGGGACAGAUGGUGCUCGCAGGCAAACCGGACAGGGCGCCCGAGCCUGCGAGAGCGGAGCUAACAGGUCUCCAGGGUCAGAGAGGUCGCACAUAGCUGUUCGAGUUACACUUUCUUAACAUGCAAAACAAACCAGUGCAUGACUUGUUUUCCCUCAAAUUGGUUCUGGCUGAGUAACGUCAGUUUAAAGCUGUAAACUAUUAGUUUGAAGAGGCCUCAGCCGAAGUAUCUGGUGUUACUUUACAAGCUUACAAAAGGACACGAGGAAAAGUUUUCGUGUCCUGAAUCGCCGCAGAUUGGCUUCCAGCUGCAGCAUGUGGCACUCGUGUUUUAGAUUUGCAUGAUCAGGCUGACAACGGGAGAUUUUUAUGAGCUGUGGCACUAAUGUGAGGAGAUGUUUUCUGAUGUCUGUGGGUUAAAAAAGCCGCAGCAGAGUGACUCACUGCUCGCCACUCUCUGAAACAGUCUGUCCUUCAUGAAUUUACAUGUUUAAUUCGACUCAUUCGUCAUUUAUGGAAAUUUCACAAGGACUGUUUACACCACAGACGCUUUCACAGGGACUGUUUCCACUACAGACGCUUUCACAGGGACUGUUUCCACUACAGACACUUUCACAGGGACUGUUUCCACUACAGACACUUUCACAGGGACUGUUUCCACUACAGACAGGUUCACAGGGACUGUUUCCACUACAGACAACUUC